UAACAGCCAUAUUUGCGCGCC
rnacentral:piRNA from 1 species